CAGUCAGCCAUGUUGUGCCGACUGCCUCUCUCCGAGGGGCAUAGAAUGGCUUUAAGACUGCCGGGCUUCCUUGUGAUAAUGGUGCCCGGAUCGCUUGUUUGCAUUGCGACACGUCCGGAACCGGGGAGUUCAUUCAAGGGUAUAUUCCGUCCAAUUUCUGUCAUAGGAGCUGUGUCAACAGGAUAGUUGUUAAUCAGUGAGCCCCACUGGAGGCCAACCAAGACCCAAAGCUUUGGCUGCAGGAGGUCCGGGGACCACAGUUUGAGAAACACUGGAGUAAACGUCCUUCAUUUUCUGCAAUCAUUGUAAACAUGCACGACGUCUACAAAGCCUGGCCUCUAUUACCAAGCUCUUCAAUGGAGGCUCCCAAAUGUCAACGUCGCAAGCGUCUGGCUGAUCCUGUGGUUGAGUUUCACCUGCGCCAUAACGCCCGUCCGCCGACCUUGGCAGGAAGAAGACGGCCUUCUGUGUCAGAUCCGCCUUGG